rnacentral:rRNA from 1 species
CCUACGGGUGGCAGCAGUGAGGAAUAUUGGUCAAUGGGAGAGAUCCUGAACCAGCCAAGCCGCGUGAGGGAAGACGGCCCUAUGGGUUGUAAACCUCUUUUGUCGGAGAACAAAACCCGGGACGUGUCCCGGACUGCGUGUAUCCGAAGAAAAAGCAUCGGCUAACUCCGUGCCAGCAGCCCCGUUAAUAGGGAGGAUGCGAGCGUUAUCCGGAUUUAUUGGGUUUUAAGGUUGCGUAGGCUGUCCGUUAAGUGCGGGGUAAAAUUGCGGGGCUAAACCCCGUCGAGCCGUUGAAACUGGCAGACUUGAGUUGGCGAGAAGGACGCGGAAUGCGCGGUGUAGCGGUGAAAUGCAGAGAUAUCGCGCAGAACUCCGAUUGCGAAGGAAGCGUACCGGCGCCAGACUGACGCUGAGGCACGAAAGCGUGGGGAUCGAACAGGAUUAGAUACCCCAGUAGUC